UUGGGGGAAUUUCGGGGGGAUUUGGGGUGUUCCCAACCCUGCACCCCCUUUGGCACCGUUUCAGUGCUCGGAUGAGUCCUCGGAGCUGUCCCGGCAGCACAGGGAGAUGCACGGCGGGGCAGGUGAGGGGAGAGGGUCCCCAAAAUCCUACCCGGGGUCCCCAAAACCCCCCUAGGACCCUCUGUCACCUUUUGGGGACCCCCCCUGUCACCCCAAUGUCCCCACAGCCGGUGACAGUGACCCGGAGCAGCUGGAGGAGGAGCCCUCGCCCGAGGAGCAGCAGAGCCAGACCCCGAGAGGUGACAGCCCUGAGGGCAGCAGGGGGGUCCCCAAUUGCCGGCGGCGCCCCAAGAACCUGGAGGUGUGGAUGGAGAGAGAGAGGGAGAGGAGCCGGGACAGGUACAGGGAAAGGGGAAUUGGGAAAUGGGAAUGGGGACUGGGACAGGGACUGGGAAAUGGGGAGUGGAGGCUGGGAAUGGGGACUGGGAAAUGGGAAAUGGGACAGGUACUGGGAAAUGGGAGUGGGGUUUGAGGUUUGGGGAGUGGGAAUUGGAGUUUGGGACUGG
rnacentral:lncRNA from 1 species